GAAUUCACUAGUGAUUCAGGCCUAACACAUGCAAGUCGAACGGUAGAGGGGCAACCCUCGAGAGUGGCGAACGGGUGAGUAAUGCAUCGGAACGUGCCCAGUCGUGGGGGAUAACGUAGCGAAAGCUACGCUAAUACCGCAUACGACCUGAGGGUGAAAGCGGGGGACCGAAAGGCCUCGCGCGAUUGGAGCGGCCGAUGUCAGAUUAGGUAGUUGGUGGGGUAAAGGCCUACCAAGCCUGCGAUCUGUAGCUGGUCUGAGAGGACGACCAGCCACACUGGGACUGAGACACGGCCCAGACUCCUACGGGAGGCAGCAGUGGGGAAUUUUGGACAAUGGGCGAAAGCCUGAUCCAGCCAUGCCGCGUGCGGGAAGAAGGCCUUCGGGUUGUAAACCAAUUGUGUCAGGGAAGAAAUCUUCUGGGCUAAUACCCUGGGAGGAUGACGG
rnacentral:rRNA from 1 species